UGUUUCAGGGAGCAGAGUACAUAAGAAAUGUGCACAGCUUAUUGUGGUUUCUAUUUGUGUUACUAGUAGGUACGUUGUCAAGACCUAACCAAGCAGGCUUUUCUGAGAAUACUAGCGGGAGAGGUUCAGUGACCAGAACAUAAAGAGGCUGAGCCAUUUAAGUGGUCCAACAAGUUACUUAGCUUGAAUUUGUUGUGGAAAUAUUGAAAAAGAUGGAAAAUUAAUUUUUUCAGAAUGACAAGGUGUCUUCUAAAAAACCAUGGACACAAAAGCUGUGUAACUUGAAUGUCUUCCAAUUAGACUUUGGAUGUGAUUUCUACUUACUUGGUAUAUUGAAAUAUUCGCAGAUAUGAUGAAAUGUUCCAAAAAGUCUUUGUAUGGUUUACUACUUGUGUAUUGUUGACAGUAGUGUACAGUCCUGUCUGUAUUACAACUGUUCUGAUUUUCCAUUGUCCCAACUUUUACAUCUGUUGUCAAAAGGACAAGAAAGUAAGAGCUUCCAGCAUACUGGGAUCAUUAGUGAUACAGUUCAAGCAGGCACUAAUUCCAGAACCAGAAUUUAUUUUUCAUUAGCUUCAACAUUUACCACUUGACAUUGCAAGGGGAAUAAAAAUCUACAAACCUUGAAAGAAUGGCACAGAUACAAAAAUUUUCUAAAUUACACAGUUCUUAGAAUUACUGUUUUUAAAAUAUAUACCAUUGUAUUGAUAAAUGCAUUACACUCAAGACAGUGAGAAAUGUUACAUCAAAAAAGAUACAUUUACCUGAACAAUAAAGAUCUCUGUUUGAGUUA
rnacentral:lncRNA from 1 species